rnacentral:lncRNA from 1 species
UUUGAGAUUUAAACUCUAGGGAUUAGCAGUGUGACUUUAAGAAACACUUACCAUCUUUUUCCUAGGUUUACAUAUAUCCAAACCACUUGAGUGAAAAAUGCGUUAUAAUAAUUUUUAGAAACCCAUAUGUGCUAGAAGUACUUCGGGCUUUGGGAGAAAAACAUAUGGAUUGCUGAUGCACAAGAGGCAUGAGGAAAAAUUGACCACAAGAGGAUUGGGAUUGUGCAUAAAUCAACAUUACUUGAUUAGCUGUGUUCUAGUAUGGGUUUGAGUUCAAUGUUGGCUAGUCAUACACACACUAAGUCGAGCAUCGGAUAAGUAAAAAUCUAUUUUAAUAUUAUUUGGAUCUUUCUAAAGUAUUGCUUAAAUUUGAACGUAAGGCUUAUGAUAAGCGAUUCAUCGUUGAGUCUUUUAUUUGUGAUUUGUUUGGGUUAAUCAUAUGUGUCAUAUAUAAGUUUUAUUUUAUUUUCUUCGAGGAUGAACAAAUGUUUUAGUUUGGGGGUGUUUGAUAAAUACAUUAUUGUGCACUUAUUUAGGACAUAUUAUUAAACUUUUAUGUCAUCAAAUUUUUGAAUUUUAUUUAACUUGGGUUAAUUUUCUUUUGUUUUACUAAUAGACUCGUUUGAAGCAAUCGAUAAGAAAAUAAGGAUUGAUUGGCCAUUAAGUAGAAGUUUGUGGACUAAAUCUCACUUGAAUAAAAGCUGGAGGAUCAAAAUCGAGGAGAAAAUGAAGAUAGGGACUAUCUUGCAUCACUGGAAGAAUUGAGGCCUUAGAAGAUAAAUUGCAACUAAUUGGGCCUCAAAAUAAUGAAAUUUUAAUUGGGCCUAGAGUGGACUUUUAAUUGUAAAUAAAUUGAAUAAUUAAUGGAACGUUGAAUUGAAAUUGCAACUAAUUGGGCCUCAAAUUGAUGAAAUGUGAAAAUUUAAUUGGGCCUAAAGUGGACUUUUAAUUGUAAUUAAAUUGAAUAAUUAAUGGAACGUUGAAUUGGGCAGCUGCUUUAGAAUUGUGAAAGUGUGUGUGUGUGUGUGUGUAGAAUUGAAUAUACAUACAUGCAAAAGGGUGGUAGAAAUUUGGGAAGAAAAGACUAGGUGGAUAGAAACAUUUGGGCGGUUGGAGAAAAGAUAAAAGAGAAGCAAAGCCGGUGGAAAAUCAAUUCAAAUUUGAGGAAUUAAUCACGCUCAAUCGAUGUUUUGUGAUGUCUUUUAUCAUUUAUUUGCCUAAUUUCAAUAUUAUGUUAGGCUAAAUUAUUA